rnacentral:rRNA from 1 species
CGGAGGGUGCAAGCGUUAUCCGGACUCACUGGGUUUAAAGGGUGCGUAGGUGGGUUGGUAAGUCAGUGGUGAAAUCCCCGAGCUUAACUUGGGAACUGCCAUUGAUACUAUCAGUCUUGAAUACCGUGGAGGUCGGCGGAAUAUGUCAUGUAGCGGUGAAAUGCUUAGAUAUGACAUAGAACACCAAUUGCGAAGGCAGCUGACUACGCGAGUAUUGACACUGAGGCACGAAAGCGUGGGGAUCAAACAGGAUUAGAUACCCUGGUAGUCCACGCCCUAAACUAUGGAUACUCGACAUACGCGAUACACUGUGUGUGUCUGAGCGAAAGCAUUAAGUAUCCCACCUGGGAAGUACGAUCGCAAGAUUG